CGGACGGGUGAGUAACGCGUAAAGAACUUGCCCUUUAGACUGGGAUAACAGAGGGAAACUUCUGAUAAUACUGGAUAAGUUAGUAUAUCGCAUGAUAUGCAAAUGAAAGCUACGGCACUAAAGGAGAGCUUUGCGUCCUAUUAGCUAGUUGGUAAGGUAAGAGCUUACCAAGGCGAUGAUAGGUAGCCGGCCUGAGAGGGUGGACGGCCACAAGGGGACUGAGAUACGGCCCUUACUCCUACGGGAGGCAGCAGUGGGGAAUAUUGGACAAUGGAGGGAACUCUGAUCCAGCAAUUCUGUGUGUGUGAAGAAGGUUUUAGGACUGUAAAACACUUUUAGUAGGGAAGAAAAAAAUGACGGUACCUACAGAGGAAGCAACGGCUAAAUACGUGCCAGCAGCCGCGGUAAUACGUAUGUUGCGAGCGUUAUCCGGAAUUAUUGGGCUUAAAGGGCAUCUAGGCGGUAAGACAAGUUGAAGGUGAAAACCUGUGGCUCAACCAUAGGCUUGCCUACAAAACUGUUGAACUAGAGUACUGGAAAGGUGGGUGGAACUACACGAGUAGAGGUGAAAUUCGUAGAUAUGUGUAGGAAUGCCGAUGAUGAAGAUAACUCACUGGACAGAAACUGACGCUGAAGUGCGAAAGC
rnacentral:rRNA from 1 species